CAGUCAUAUCAUGUUGAAAUACCAGUUCUCAUAAGAUCACUGAAGUUAAGCAACAUUGAUCCUGGUCAGCAUCUAGAUGAGUGACCGCUUGGGAAUACCAGGUGCC